rnacentral:rRNA from 1 species
CGCGUGGGAAUCUGCCCAGUAGUGGGGGACAACAUGGGGAAACUCAUGCUAAUACCGCAUACGCCCUAAGGGGGAAAGCAGGGGAUCUUCGGACCUUGCGCUAUUGGAUGAGCCUGCGUCGGAUUAGCUAGUUGGUGGGGUAAUGGCCUACCAAGGCGACGAUCCGUAGCUGGUCUGAGAGGAUGAUCAGCCACACUGGGACUGAGACACGGCCCAGACUCCUACGGGAGGCAGCAGUGGGGAAUAUUGGACAAUGGGGGCAACCCUGAUCCAGCCAUGCCGCGUGUGUGAAGAAGGCCUUAGGGUUGUAAA